rnacentral:misc_RNA from 1 species
GAUGAAGAACGUAGCGAAAUGCGAUAAGUAAUGUGAAUUGCAGAAUUCAGUGAAUCAUCGAAUCUUUGAACGCACAUUGCGCCCGCCAGUAUUCUGGCGGGCAUGCCUGUUCGAGCGUCAUUUCAACCCUCAAGCCCAGCUUGGUGUUGGGGAUCGGCACAGGCGCCCUCGGGCGCCCGCCGUGCCCUAAAUCUAGUGGCGGUCCCGCUGCAGCCUCCUCUGCGUAGUAGUUUUCUCCUCGCAAGGGCAGCUCGGUGGCGACCUCGCCGUAAAACCCCCAACUUCUGAAAGGUUGACCUCGAAUCAGGUAGGAAUACCCGCUGAACUUAAGCAUAUCAAUAAGCGGAGGA